rnacentral:tRNA from 2 species
GGACUAGUGGCUCAGUUAGUUAGAGCACUGCCAUACAUAGGCAGAGGUCCUGGGUUUAAUCCCUGGCUGGUCUA